CAGAAGUUAGAAUCAUCCGCUGUAGGUGCAAUAGACCAAGCCUAGUCUACCUUUUACCAUAACCUGUCGACCCAGGAGAUGUGUUGUGGUGGAACUGAAGCGUGGAGUCUUGCGUGACGCCAGUCUAUUCAAACCGGGUCAUUUCACGAGUGAGGCACUCCGGCUGCGGCAGAACAGUCAGCUGGUCAUUAAUGGACGGCGGCAACGGAAGUCUACUGGUGGCAAUUAGUCGAAGUCUUCGACUCGGAUCGUGAAGCUGUUUCUCAAGCCGCCAGCGCGUCAACCGGCCCGAUUUGCGCGAUUGCUGGGCGCUGAACAUAGCAUCACCACGAGUAAAGUCAAUUGAAGGUUACUUUAGUUCGAUACGAGCUAUUGGCUGGUAACGAGGGGCCUGCUAGGUUUUCAGAUACAUAAAACUAAAACUGGGUUAUCGAGAAAGCAAUCGGGGUUUUUCAGGACCGUCAAGAAAAAGAGUAAGAAUUAUUGAGGCAAAUAAAGGAAAAGCAACGUAGUUUUAUCCAGUAAAACGAAAACCAUGACUGCAGAGUACCACGUUUGGAGCUAGAGUGGCACCACUGUGUAGCACACGUACGUGGUGCAACUACAGUGGCUAGAUCUACUCCGGUGAUAGUUUUCUUGCUCAUACGAAGUCGGCACAUAGUAUAAAUUGCGUAUAUGUGAUGUUUUACGCUUGAGGUCAGAACCUGUAGUAAAGGACUCAUAUGAAAAAUAGUUCUAACGGCAAGAUCUGGAUCUGGUCAUCCAUGGGCUGGGCAACAAGCCUUGAAAAAUCGAAGUUCAGUUAUUAUUUCAAGUUCAUUUCUAAAUAGCUGAUAUGCUGUAUAUUACACCUAGAUAAUGUAUACCAACUCCGGACUUCUCUAAACAGAAAUGACGCAUUUGAUUCUUGAAGUAUAUUUUGCCCUCGUUUGCCCCACUUGGCUAAACCUUUUUCAGAAGAUGUCACCUAAGAUCGACCAAUGGCCAAACCAGUGAUUUCCUCUGGAUUUUUCUCAUAUAUGUUCUUUUCCUUGUUGUCCUUCCUCAUUGAGGUUAAAUUUCCUUUCCUUCCACUGAAAUCAUUUCUUCCUCUGAUGCAAUAACAGUAGCUUUAAACUGAAUAAGCUAACAAAAAUCGAUGCCGUGUUCACCUGAUUGUUUCUCAAGAAAAUACAUAUGGUUUGUUGAGAAAGUAUUGACUGUGAAGCCAACAUUGAAGCAAACAUUUUUCAUAUAUGAAAAUAACAAUAAUCACUAAUAAAAAUGAUUAAUGAUCCGCUGCCAUUUCUUCGACAUUACCUUA